UGGGGAAUAUUGGACAAUGGGCGAAAGCUUGAUCCAGCCAUGCCGCGUGUGUGAAGAAGGUCUUCGGAUUGUAAAGCACUUUAAGUUGGGAGGAAGGGCAGUAAGCGAAUACCUUGCUGUUUUGACGUUACCGACAGAAUAAGCACCGGCUAACUCUGUGCCAGCAGCCGCGGUAAUACAGAGGGUGCAAGCGUUAAUCGGAAUUACUGGGCGUAAAGCGCGCGUAGGUGGUUCGUUAAGUUGAAUGUGAAAGCCCCGGGCUCAACCUGGGAACUGCAUCCAAAACUGGCGAGCUAGAGUAGGGCAGAGGGGGGUGGAAUUUCCUGUGUAGCGGUGAAAUGCGUGGAUAUAGGAAGGAACACUAGUGGCGAAGGCGACCACCUGGGCUCAUACUGACACUGAGAUGCGAAAGAGUGGGGAGCAAACAGG
rnacentral:rRNA from 1 species